GAUAAACGCUGGCGGCGUGCUUAACACAUGCAAGUCGAACGAAGUUUUUCCUUCGGGCGCACCUUAGUGGCGGAUGGGUGAGUAACGCGUGGGUAACCUGCCCUGUACAGGGGGACAACAGCUGGAAACGGCUGCUAAUACCGCAUAAGCCCUUAGCACUGCAUGGUGCAUAGGGAAAAGGAGCAAUCCGGUACAGGAUGGACCCGCGUCUGAUUAGCCAGCUGGCAGGGUAACGGCCUACCAAAGCGACGAUCAGUAGCCGAUCUGAGAGGAUGUACGGCCACAUUGGGACUGAGACACGGCCCAGACUCCUACGGGAGGCAGCAGUGGGGAAUAUUGCACAAUGGAGGAAACUCUGAUGCAGCGACGCCGCGUGAGUGAAGAAGUAUUUCGGGAUGUAAAGCUCUAUCAGCAGGGAAGAAAAUGACGGUACCUGACUAAGAAGCACCGGCUAAAUACGUG
rnacentral:rRNA from 1 species